rnacentral:rRNA from 1 species
ACGAACGCUGGCGGCAGGCUUAACACAUGCAAGUCGAGCGGGCCCGCAAGGGUCAGCGGCGGACGGGUUAGUAACGCGUGGGAACGUGCCCUUUGCUCUGGAAUAGCCCUGGGAAACUGGGGGUAAUACCGGAUGUGCCCUGAGGGGGAAAGAUUUAUCGGCAAGGGAUCGGCCCGCGUCUGAUUAGGUAGUUGGUGGGGUAAUGGCCCACCAAGCCGACGAUCGGUAGCUGGUUUGAGAGGAUGAUCAGCAACACUGGGACUGAGACACGGCCCAGACUCCUACGGGAGGCAGCAGUGGGGAAUCUUAGACAAUGGGCGCAAGCCUGAUCUAGCCAUGCCGCGUGGGUGAUGAAGGCCUUAGGGUCGUAAAGCCCUUUCGCCGGGGAAGAUAAUGACGGUACCCGGUAAAGAAACCCCGGCUAACUCCGU